UGGAUAGGUAACGUGCCCCGUACUCUGGGAUAGCCAUCCGAAAGGGUGGGUAAUACCGGAUAAUAUCACCGAUCGAUGGGUUGGUGAUCAAAGAUUUAUCGGCGCGGGAGCGGCCUAUCUCCUAUCAGCUAGUUGGUGAGGUAACGGCCCCACCAAGGCGAAGACGGGUAGCGGGACUGAGAGGUUGGCCCGCCACAUCGGAACUGAGAUACUGUCCGGACCCCCACGGGGGGCUGCAGUAACGGAUAUUGGGCAAUGGGCGAAAGCCUGACCCAGCGACGCCGCGUGCGGGAGGAAGUCCUUCGGGAUGUAAACCGCUGUCAGGGGGAAGUAAAGUCCGUUUCGGCGGAUUGAUCUAACCCAGAGGAAGUCACGGCUAACUCUGUGCCAGCAGCCGCGGUAGGACAGAGGUGGCUAGCGUUGUUCGGUAUCACUGGGCUUAAAGCGUGUGUAGGCGGAAGCGUAAGCAUUUUGUGAAAUCCCCCGGCUUAACCGGGGAAUUGCUUGAUGUACUGCGUUUCUUGAGGCAGGUAGGGGUGCGAGGAACUCUUGGUGGAGCGGUGGAAUGCGUAGAUAUCAAGAGGAACGCCGGUGGUGAAGACGUCGCACUGGGCCUGUCCUGACGCUGAGACACGAAAGGCGUGGGGAGCGAACGGGAUUAGAUACCCCGGUAGUCCACGCCGUAAACGAUGCCUACUAGAUUGUGGCGGUUCUGACGCCGGCACAGUCGAAGCCAAAGUGUUAAGUAGGCCGCCUGGGGAGUACGGUCGC
rnacentral:rRNA from 1 species